rnacentral:rRNA from 1 species
CGGGCUUCGGCCUGGCGGCGAGUGGCGAACGGGUGAGUAAUGCAUCGGAACGUGCCCAGUAGUGGGGGAUAGCCCGGCGAAAGCCGGAUUAAUACCGCAUACGACCUGAGGGUGAAAGCGGGGGACCGAAAGGCCUCGCGCUAUUGGAGCGGCCGAUGUCGGAUUAGCUAGUUGGUGGGGUAAAGGCUUACCAAGGCGACGAUCCGUAGCUGGUCUGAGAGGACGACCAGCCACACUGGGACUGAGACACGGCCCAGACUCCUACGGGAGGCAGCAGUGGGGAAUUUUGGACAAUGGGGGCAACCCUGAUCCAGCCAUGCCGCGUGCGGGAAGAAGGCCUUCGGGUUGUAAACCGCUUUCGCCUGUGACGAAGCGUGAGUGACGGUAAUGGGUAAAGAAGCACCGGCUAACUACGUGCCAGCAGCCGCGGUAAUACGUAGGGUGCGAGCGUUGUCCGGAAUUAUUGGGCGUAAAGAGCUCGUAGGCGGUUUGUCGCGUCUGCUGUGAAAAUCCGGGGCUCAACCCCGGACUUGCAGUGGGUACGGGCAGACUAGAGUGUGGUAGGGGAGACUGGAAUUCCUGGUGUAGCGGUGGAAUGCGCAGAUAUCAGGAGGAACACCGAUGGCGAAGGCAGGUCUCUGGGCUGUUACUGACGCUGAGGAGCGAAAGCAUGGGUAGCGAACAGGAUUAGAUACCCUGGUAGUCCAUGCCGUAAACGGUGGGCGCUAGGUGU